UACGAAGGGGGCUAGCGUUGCUCGGAAUCAUUGGGCGUAAAGCGCACGUAGGCGGUCUGUUAUGUCGGAUGUGAAAGCCCUUGGCUCAACUGAGGAAGUGCAUCCGAAACUGGCAGGCUAGAGUACGAAAGAGGAUCGCGGAAUUCCCGGUGUAGAGGUGAAAUUCGUAGAUAUCGGGAGGAACACCUGUGGCGAAGGCGGCCAUCUGGACAACUACUGACACUGAGACGCGAAAGCGUGGGUAGCAAACAGG
rnacentral:rRNA from 1 species